CUUCUGUCACAGAAGAGGCGUACUACGCAAAGAGUAAGGGUGUGAACUGGAAGCUGGGAGAGCUGGCUUGGUUCCCUUCACUGGCCAUCACUGGGGUGUGUCACUUGAUAUCAAGGAUUUCCGUUUAUCAACUACAAAGUCUUAGGUUGAUAGAGCUAUGGAGAUUAUAGCUUUCAAAGUGUUUGAGAGGAACCAUAUUUUAUAAAUCCAACAUUGCUAACUGCUGAAGAGGCACUAUCUUCAUGCUAUAUUUUGCCAUGUGGCUGAAGGUCUUGUGAAGAUGGUCUUCAGAGUUUCUGCGUAUUAUCUUUGGCGAUGGUAUCAAAGGCUGCUUUCAGGUUGAAGUAGGGUAGCAAUUUUCCUCAGCCCCUGAUGCAUCUGGCUCACGUGGGAUCUAUUCCUACGCAGCAAUCCAGACAUUACAGAACAGACGUGCUGUGUAGAGGAGAGACCUACACAGCUGGGACUAAGACUGAAGCUAGAAGAUACCAAAAAAUUCAUCAACUGAGUUGGAAAAACAUCAGUCAGACUCUUG
rnacentral:lncRNA from 1 species